GGAAAAGCAGCUGCGAGAGUCGAAAUUCGAGUUUUCGAGUGAAUUGAUCAGUAUGAUUUUGGAGAAGCUUGAAUGUGAAACUAAUAAGACGUUGAUAUUCUUUAGGUGGAUUGAAGAGAGUGGUCUAUUUAAACACAAUGAGCAGACAUUUAAUGCUAUGGCAAGGGUCUUAGGUAGGGAAGAGUACAGUGAGAAGCUCUGGAAAUUAGUUGAUGAAAUGAGAACUGCAGGAUCUGAAAUGGAAAAAGAAACAUAUAUUAGGGUUCUGGAUAACUUUGUUAAGAGAAAAAUGAUUAAGGAUGCCGUGGACUUAUAUGAGUUUGCAAUGGUUGGCAUAAACAAGCCAUCCCCGGAAGACUGC
rnacentral:misc_RNA from 1 species